CUUGCAGCUAUAAAAAUGUUUCAGAGUUUUAGUGUCAUUCGCCAUUUCAAUGCGAAUAGAACUGUCAUCUCUGUUUAACGCAAAAUGGCUGAUUUGACUGCGUACGAAGAAGUAUUUCAUUAUCUUCGCGACAACGAGUACCCCAAUUCUUACAACAAAGACCAGAAGAGGAACUUGCGGAAAAGAUCCCAAAAGUUUGUCCUGGAGGAUGGUGUGCUGUUUUAUAAAGGAUUGGAUAACUCUGAGCCACGACGGUGGGUGCCUAACGUUGACGAGCAAAAGAAAAUUUUAACUGCAUGUCACUCCGACAAACAGCCACGGUUUUCGUGAUCACAACGAAUCAUGAGACUCUCCAAAAAUUCCGUCAAAAUUCUCGGUGGUUUGGUUAAGGUUUCUUCUGUCAGAUGGCGUUGACACAUAGGGCAAGUUUCUGAGUUUUCGUGCAAACACUUUUGAAUACACGAGCGGCAGAAGUAGUGUUCAUUCGGGCAUUGUACUGGAUCCUUUAAGACCUUGAGACAAAUCGAGCACUGCAGUUUAAUGUCCACUUUGUUCUCGACUUUGUUU